rnacentral:rRNA from 1 species
GACGAACGCUGGCGGCGUGCUUAACACAUGCAAGUCGAACGGAAAGGCCCUGCUUUUGUGGGGUGCUCGAGUGGCGAACGGGUGAGUAACACGUGAGUAACCUGCCCUUGACUUUGGGAUAACUUCAGGAAACUGGGGCGAAUAUCGGGUAGGAGCUCCUGCUGCAUGGUGUGGGUUGGAAAGUGUCGGCGGUGGGGGAUGGACUCGCGGCUUAUCAGCUUGUUGGUGGGGUAGUUGCUUACCAAGGCUUUGACGGGUAGCCGGCCUGAGAGGGUGACCGGCCACCUUGGGACUGAGAUACGGACCAGACUCCUACGGGAGGCAGUAGUGGGGAAUAUUGCACAAUGGGCGGAAGCCUGAUGCAGCAACGCCGCGUGCGGGAUGACGGCCUUCGGGUUGUAAACCGCUUUCGCCUGUGACGAAGCGUGAGUGACGGUAAUGGGUAAAGAAGCACCGGCUAACUACGUG